GUUGAUUCGUUGGCAGGUUACGUACGUCUUAGAUUUGUGAACAGUGGGUCAAUAAUUUUUCAUCGCACUAAGGAUUUCUUUUCAUAUAUUUUUCUCUUGAAACAACACGCACAAUAAAUCCAUUCAUGGGUUGCUCAUGCUCUACACAUAUAAUCACGUGCGGCGCAUUGUGCGGAGGGGGAAACGCGGUCGCUGUGACAAGAAGUAGAAACGGGGACACUGUUCCACUGAUACCACCUGAUAAUGCACGCAACUCAUCAUCUAAAGCAACCCUACGAGGACGGGGUGGCAACACGAACGGGGUGCCCAAUGGCAGCGCUUCUCAGUCACAUGUACCAUCACCAAUACAAGAAUCAGAACCAAACCAUGAGAAUACACGUGUUAAGAGUGCACAAGAUGAUCAUGGUGAUGCACAGACUCCUAUUAAGGAAACGAGCAAGAACAAAUAAAAUUGAUUCGACGGCUACUGGGGAUAUCAAGGAUAGCAUAAGCGUGAAGAGUUCAGCUUCUUUUCUUUUUUUCUUCUUCGCCGUCAUCAUCAUCAUCAUCAUAAAAAUAGACAAUCUUUGGAUUUCCACUGACUCUGUUAUUCUGUUCACAACAAACAUCACUGGAUAAGUGGAUGCCCUGAGUGGACAUCUAUAAGACAAUAUGGGACAGUACCUACAGUGUACAUGUAUUCUGCAGGAUUGAAAUAGAUUUAUUUCAUAAUUAAUCCAAAGAGGAAAAUAAAACAACAUUUUUGCUUCGUUCCAUGAUCUAAUAAAUUACAACAAUUAUUGAAGGUGGGACUAGAUUAACGCCAACUUACCGAAAAGAGAAUUGAAAAAAGUCACAUGAGAUUCAGUAUGUGAAUGGUACCGCGCGAAGGCGUAAGAUUAGUUGACACGUCUUGUGUCGUACGGUAAGGUCUGUGAAUAUGUGUGUGUUUAUAAGUAGAAAGCAAAUUGUAUCAUACUGUACAUUGUUAAGUUUAAUUUUUGAGGGUAAUAAUAUAUUUUCAUAAUAAAAAAGAUUAAUAUGCCCAUGGCGGAAAACCAAUUGGCCAUGAAAAGUUUGCAGCCAUAUUGCAGCAACGAAUUUGCAUGAGUUUUACUUCUGCUAAUUUUCAGCCAUAUUGCAGCAAAUUUGCUGCAAAUUUGAAAGAAGGAAUUGCAGUUUACAGCAAUAUUGCAACAAAUUUGCCGCGAAUUUGCAGCAGGCCUGACAUUUUGCUUAGGACUUGAGUUAUUGAAGGUGGGGCUAGGUUAUCGCUAUGUAAACGCCAUGUUUACAAGCCUUGGGCUCUAUUAAUAAAGAGGCAGGGUGUAUGGAGAUGAUCAUUAUCAGUGUUAAUUAUUAUAUUUAGCUUAAUAUAUCAAAGAGCGCAGAUCUCCUGUGAUAUUUUAAAUCCUAUUUGAUAUGCUCUAUUGUGCUUUUUAUUUUUGUAUUUUCAUUGUUUACAAAAUGUUCAAAAUGUUCUACAAUUGUUAGUGCCAUAUAUUUUAUUUUCCAUCUACAUGUAAUGGUUACAAUAUUCCACGAUAGACACUAGCUCAGCAAACUGCAUGAUACUAAACGGAAAUAAAUAACAAAUAAAAUACAUAAAAAUAAAGCGGGUAUAGUAAUAGCUACCUGUACAUCGAAAAUUACAUAGACGAAUGACUUUUCUGGCUUACAGUCACGCUCUUCUGACAAUUAACUCUUACCACCGUGUAAUGCUAGACUACGUAGGACCUUGGUCAAAUUAGACGAACUCGUAUUAUUAUUUUCUUUUACUAGCC
rnacentral:lncRNA from 1 species